rnacentral:rRNA from 1 species
GGACUACCGGGGUAUCUAAUCCUGUUUGCUCCCCACGCUUUCGUGCAUGAGCGUCAGUCAUGGCCCAGGGGGCUGCCUUCGCCAUCGGUGUUCCUCCACAUCUCUACGCAUUUCACUGCUACACGUGGAAUUCCACCCCCCUCUGCCUGACUCCAGUCUUGCAGUCACAACCGCAGUUCCCAGGUUAAGCCCGGGGAUUUCACAGCUGUCUUACAAAACCGCCUGCGCACGCUUUACGCCCAGUAAUUCCGAUUAACGCUCGCACCCUACGUAUUACCGCGGCUGCUGGCAC